rnacentral:lncRNA from 1 species
AUUUGCUAUGAAUUUAAAUAUGGUAAUAGAUUGGGGCCUCUGCAUAAUAAAUGUCAUUCUUUUUUUUUGUACAAAAGGCAGAGCUAUAUUCAUUUUUAAAAAUUGAGUUACAUGGCACUCUUUAAUUCUCCCAUGAAUAUAGUAGUUAGACUGAAUGGAACUGCCAUAUUUAAGAAUAGAGAUACUCAUUUAUUUUUCUAUAGAAGGAAUAAGGCUAAAGAUUAGGUGAAUAUGCAAGUGGAUAGGAUCUUUAUGAAAAGUGACAUUGUGCCUGCUCUAAAGGAAUUUGUAGUCUAUAGAAGUUGGGGUAGAUACAAUAAGUAAACAAUUAAACGUGUUAAAGGUAGAAUGUGAUAGGGACAAAGAGAGAUUCUGAGCUCUAAGGAAAUUCUGUGGAGUUCAGCAAUCUAGAAUAGAGUAAAACAUUUUAGUGAUGUCAACUACUUCAGUUUCCACUGUUGAGGAAUUUGUGAUCAUUUAGAUACCUAUUGGACUAAAUUUUGUCUUUGAACUAUUGAUUGAUUUCUUAAGUAAAUUAAUAAUAUAAAUUGAGGGAGGGAUGAAGAAAAUAAAUGAUAUUGUUAAACAAUCUAAGUUCUACUUUCAAGAACCUCCAAAUACUUUGAGAAUUUAGUGAUUAAGGAACAAACUAUGUUUCAUUUAAAUCAGCUUUUUCCACAACCUCAAAACAAAUGGCAAAAGUUAUAUAUACUGAUCAGAAGACAUUGUCAUCAGAUUAAAUAUGAGUCAAUCCUUUGAAGGCCAAAAUCAUUUUCCAGGAGACUUUGGUUUAAAUCUCUGGCAGGAGCCGACUCACAUGAGCUGUCAAGCUGAUUGUGAAAUUUUCAUUGGGAGCAUUUAUACUUCAGAAACAGGCACUGGAGUGGAUACAAAGUCUAAGUAAGAUGCAGUUCCUACCUUCAUGGAGCAUAGUGUCUGGUUCUCCUGUUUUAUCGGACUGAAGAAGCCAACAUAAUUGUAGACAUCUCAGUAUAGAAAUGACCGACCCAAUAUAAGCAAAGAGUAUUAAUGAAAACAGGGUUUUACUUAGCUAGUAAGGAUAAAAUUAUCCCACAGAAAGGAAGAAUACAGGAUGUUAGAUCAGAUCUCAUUGUCUGUACCACGGUGAGGCUUGCUCAUGAUCCUGAUCUCACAGGAGUCAGUAAAAUGGAGUGAGGGUCUGGCUGGCCCGAGAAAUAAAGAUCUCCUCGCGAUUGUCUUUAUCUCCUAA